rnacentral:misc_RNA from 1 species
AACUCUGAACGCUUGUGGCUUCACUUCUGUUGCUGACUCUUGAGUAUGUGCACGUUUUGAAGUCGCUCGCCUCUUCUUUGUCCACCUGUGCACCUUUUGUAGAUCUGGUUGGGGUUGAAGGUGAGGUUCGCCUCCCUUCGUUUCCUCCGGGUCUAUGCUUCAUAUCAUCUCUUGCAUGUUUAGAAUGUCUUCGUUUAUGGGACUUCACCGUCCUCUAAAACAACUUAAUA